rnacentral:rRNA from 1 species
UACGGGGGGGGGCGAGCGUUGUCCGAAGUUACUGGGCGUAAAGCGCGUGUAGGCGGGUUGUUAAGUCCGCUGUGAAAGCCCGGUGCUCAACGCCCGGAGGGUCGGUGGAUACUGGCAGUCUUGAAGUGGCUAGGGGGAAAUGGAAUUACCGGUGUAGCGGUGAAAUGCGUAGAUAUCGGUAGGAACACCAGUGGCGAAGGCGGUUUCCUGGAGCCCACUUGACGCUGAGACGCGAAAGCUGGGGGAGCAAACGGG